rnacentral:rRNA from 1 species
CAGUCCGUGCGAAGGUAGCAUAAUCAUUAGUCUUUUAAUUGAAGGCUCGUAUGAAUGGUCGGACAAAAAGUAAGCUGUCUUCAACUGUAAAAAUUGAAUUUGACUUUUAAGUGAAAAGGCUUAAAUAGUACAAAGUGACGAUAAGACCCUAUAAAGCUUUAUAGCGAAACUUUUUAUUAUAAAUUAUCGAACUGUAUAACUUAAUUUAAAGUGAAACUUUUUCGUUGGGGCGACGAAAAUAUAAUAAAAUAACUGUUUUUGUUUAAACAAUACAAGCAUAUUUGAUUUUAAUGAAUGAUCCUUUAUUAAAGAUUAAAAGAUUAAGUUACUUUAGGGAUAACAGCGUAAUCUUCUUUGAGAGUUCAUAUCGACAAGAAGGGUUGCGACCUCGAUGUUGAAUUAAGGUUCCUGUGCGGUGUAGCAGCUGCGAUUGGAGGUCUGUUCGACCUUAAACCCUUAC